rnacentral:rRNA from 1 species
GCUAAUAGUUGCAGGCUAAUAGUUCCCAUCUGAUCUUGGAAGCUAAGCAGGGUCGGGCUUGGUUAGUUCUUGGAUGGGAGACCACCUAGGAAGACCAGUGCUAUAGGCC